rnacentral:lncRNA from 1 species
GUGGAUCUAAGACAGCUCUGCUUGGCCCAGGAUUGUCCCAAAUGUCCUUUCAGCUACUUCAUUACAGGGAACGGGAGAGCCAGAGAGAGCAACUUCAGGCAAAAUGUUGACUCCUCGAGACGUGCCUUUGAUUCCAGUGCAAAAGGAUUGUACUAUAUCCUAUGGAAUUUGAAAACACUCAGUAUUUUCAUAUCUUAUUUGAUCUCGUGAAAAUGAAAAGAGUACUAAUAUCCAACUAGAGGCAAGUGGCAGAAUCCAGCUGAACAUACUUCACAAAUUCCACAAAAUUAAGGACUUUGCUAUUGGCCAAGAAAUGAUGCCUCAAAAUCAGCUCUAGGCAGAAAUCCUUUCUCUUCUCAAAACAAUAUUCUACCGAAGGCAAGUCUUAGUGUGGCGUUCCAGCACAGACACACACCAGAACGUACCAAGACACAUUGGAUCUCUGACUGGAACUUCGUUCAGAUGGAACAAAUGUAAAUGGUUGAAGAUAGAAAACUUAUUAUAGAUUUUACAUCCAGCCCAUGAGGAUUUUGACUGAUUCCAUUGAGCAGGCUCAGAAAUCUCAGACUAGAAACACACGACGUGAGCUAAAAGCAGUUCUGCAAUCUUCCUCAAGAAUGCUCAGACUGAUCCUCUUCCUUCACGCAGCUGAAAUGCCGCCACUUCCUAGGACCACACUAAGAGUGUUUGUGGAAAAAAGUGCCAAUGACUCAGUUCAGUUUUGUAAAGUACUAGCAGUUCUCUGGAGGAAACGUGCCAUAUUGAGUAGGCUGCUGUAUGGCGAGCAACUGAUUUAUCUGUGAAUUAAUUGUUUUUAAGCAAAUUCCUAACUAGACUGUUCAUACCUAAGACAUGUGUCAAGAUGCCAAAAUCUAUCCCCCUGCAUCUUUUUAGACAAUAUGUAUCAUUGUCUAAAACUAGUUAAUUUUGUAGGGAAAGCAAGUUUCCUUCUGAUCAUUAUGUCACAUGUUCAUCUUUGUCUUAAAUAUUAACCACCACCGCCUACUCGGUAUAGACUGUGUAGUCCACGCAAUGGGUAGGAACUAGAAAGUGUCUCAUCCUUCUACUGUGUUUGCACUUUUAUACAUUUUCCUUCACUUCUCAGAGCUACAUUUGUUAAUCUCACUUAUACAACAUGCAGCUUUAUGAGGCAAUCUUCACCUUCUGUGAAAAAAAAUUGCCACUGACAUCUAUUUUUUUCACCUCAGUUUUGCUUACAACAUAACAUGUUAUACCUCUCAAACAAAUCAAUAAUACUGUUUCUUCCAUACCUUUUUACUCAAUUUCCAAAGGAUGAUCUUGUAAAGUGAAAAUAGUUUUCUGGAGUUCUGAACUAUAAUCAUCAUAAUUUGUUUUGCCUGCCAAAUACUUGAUGCACUUAGGGAAAAUUUUUCAUAAGGACAUGUGACUAGUGAUCUCUUUUAAAAAUGUAAACAAUUUUUAUGCUUAUGAUACCGCCCAUUUAAUGGCCUUUUCUUAUUGUUUUUCUUCAAUAAUUUGGGGAGUGUUGCAAUGAGAACUUCAAACAUACUUCCUUUUAUGUGAGAUAAAAUCUACAUAAGAAAUUAUCUUAUGUAUAUAAAAUCUACAUAAGAUAAUUUCACAUUUUGAUGGAUGCUAGUUCACAAAAGAAGGCUUCAAAAUAAAAUUCAAAGGCAUUCUCA